GAAUUCGCCCUUAGAGUUUGAUCCUGGCUCAGGACGAACGCUGGCGGCGUGCCUAACACAUGCAAGUCGAACGGAGAUAUUUAUUUCGGUAGAUAUCUUAGUGGCGCACGGGUGAGUAACGCGUGAAUAACCUGACCCGAAGAGGGGGAUAACACCUGGAAACAAGUGCUAAUACCGCAUAAGACCACGGACCGGCAUCGGUCAGAGGUCAAAGGAGGAAUCCGCUUUGGGAGGGGUUCGCGUCCCAUUAGGUAGUUGGUGAGGUAACGGCCCACCAAGCCGACGAUGGGUAGCCGAGCUGAGAGGCUGAUCGGCCACACUGGAACUGAGACACGGUCCAGACUCCUACGGGAGGCAGCAGUGGGGAAUAUUGGGCAAUGGGCGCAAGCCUGACCCAGCAACGCCGCGUGAGGGAAGAAGGUUUUCGGAUUGUAAACCUCUGUCGCAGGGGACGAAGGAAGUGACGGUACCCUGUAAGAAAGCCCCGGCUAACUACGUGCCAGCAGCCGCGGUAAUACGUAGGGGGCGAGCGUUGUCCGGAAUUACUGGGCGUAAAGGGAGCGUAGGCGGUCGAUUAAGUUAGAUGUGAAACCCCCGGGCUUAACUUGGGGACUGCAUCUAAUACUGGUUGACUUAGAGUACAGGAGAGGGAAGCGGAAUUCCUAGUGUAGCGGUGAAAUGCGUAGAUAUUAGGAGGAACACCAGUGGCGAAGGCGGCUUUCUGGACCGACACUGACGCUGAGGCUCGAAAGCGUGGGGAGCAAACAGGAUUAGAUACCCUGGUAGUCCACGCUGUAAACGAUGAAUACUAGGUGUAGGGGGUAUCAACUCCCUCUGUGCCGCAGCAAACGCAAUAAGUAUUCCGCCUGGGGAGUACGGCCGCAAGGUUGAAACUCAAAGGAAUUGACGGGGGCCCGCACAAGCAGCGGAGCAUGUGGUUUAAUUCGAAGCAACGCGAAGAACCUUACCAAGUCUUGACAUCUCCCUGACAGAGUAUGUAAUGUACUUUUCCUUCGGGACAGGGAAGACAGGUGGUGCAUGGUUGUCGUCAGCUCGUGUCGUGAGAUGUUGGGUUAAGUCCCGCAACGAGCGCAACCCUUAUCCUCAGUAGCCAGCGGUUCGGCCGGGCACUCUGUGGAGACUGCCAGGGAUAACCUGGAGGAAGGUGGGGAUGACGUCAAAUCAUCAUGCCCCUUAUGACUUGGGCUACACACGUGCUACAAUGGCGUAAACAAAGGGAAGCAAGAGAGCGAUCUGGAGCAAAUCCCAAAAAUAACGUCCCAGUUCGGAUUGUAGUCUGCAACUCGACUACAUGAAGCUGGAAUCGCUAGUAAUCGCGAAUCAGAAUGUCGCGGUGAAUACGUUCCCGGGUCUUGUACACACCGCCCGUCA
rnacentral:rRNA from 1 species